AACGAACGCUGGCGGCGUGCUUAACACAUGCAAGUCGAACGUGAUCUAACCUUCGGGUUAGUGAAAGUGGCGCACGGGUGAGUAACGCGUGGAUAAUCUGCCUUUUAGUUGGGAAUAACGUACCGAAAGGUGCGCUAAUACCGGAUAAUACUGAGUGACUACUGUUGCUUAGUCAAAGAAGGCCUCUGUUUACAAGCUUUUGCUGAAAGAUGAGUCCGCGUACCAUUAGCUAGUUGGUCGGGUAAUGGCCUACCAAGGCUACGAUGGUUAGCUGGUCUGAGAGGAUGAUCAGCCACACUGGAACUGAGACACGGUCCAGACUCCUACGGGAGGCAGCAUG
rnacentral:rRNA from 1 species